rnacentral:rRNA from 1 species
GAUGAACGCUGGCGGCGUGCCUAAUACAUGCAAGUCGAGCGAACGGACGAGAAGCUUGCUUCUCUGAUGUUAGCGGCGGACGGGUGAGUAACACGUGGAUAACCUACCUAUAAGACUGGGAUAACUUCGGGAAACCGGAGCUAAUACCGGAUAAUAUUUUGAACCGCAUGGUUCAAAAGUGAAAGACGGUCUUGCUGUCACUUCUAGAUGGAUCCGCGCUGCAUUAGCUAGUUGGUAAGGUAACGGCCUACCAAGGCAACGAUGCAUAGCCGACCGGCGAGGGGGAUCGGCCACAUGGGAACGGAGGCAGGGACCAGACUCCUACGGGAGGCAGCAGUAGGGAAUCUUCCGCAAUGGGCGAAAGCCUGACGGAGCAACGCCGCGUGAGUGAUGAAGGUCUUCGGAGCGUAAAACUCUGUUAUUAGGGAAGAACAUAUGUGUAAGUAACUGUGCACAUCCUGACGGUACCUAAUCAGAAAGCCACGGCUAACUACGUG